AAUGAACGCUGGCGGCAUGCCUAACACAUGCAAGUCGAACGAGCGCUCCGGGACUAGUGGCGCAUGGGUGUGUAACGCGUGGGAACCUGCCCUUAGGUUCGGAAUAACUCUCAGAAAGGGGUGCUAAUACCGGAUAAUGUCUUCGGACCAAAGAUUUAUCGAACUUGGUUGGGCGCGCGUUGGAUUAGCUGGUUGGUAGGGUAAAAGCCUACCAAGGCGACGAUCAAUAGCUGGUCAGAGAGGAUGGUCAGCCACACUGGGGGUAGGACGCGGCCGGGACUCCUACGGGAGGGAGCAGAGGGUGAUAUUGGAAAAUGGGCGGAAGCCUGAAGCAGCAAUGCCGCUUAAGUGAUGUAGGCCUUAGAGUUGUAAAGCUCUUUUACCCGGGAUGAUAAUGACGGUACCGAAAGAAUAAGCUCCGGCUAACUCCGUG
rnacentral:rRNA from 1 species